rnacentral:rRNA from 1 species
CACGUAGGGGGCAAGCGUUGUCCGGCUUUAUUGGGCGUAAAGAGCUCGUAGGUGGCUUAGUAAGUCGGGUGUGAAACCUCCAGGCUCAACCUGGAGACGCCACCCGAUACUGCUAUAGCUUGAGUCCGGUAGGGGAGCGUGGAAUUCCUGGUGUAGCGGUGAAAUGCGCAGAUAUCAGGAGGAACACCAGCGGCGAAGGCGGCGCUCUGGGCCGGUACUGACACUGAGGAGCGAAAGCGUGGGGAGCAAACAGG